GUUGUAGUUCAGUGGUAGAAUGCUUGCUUGGCACGUGUGAGGUGCUGGGUUCGAUCCUCAGCACGACA
rnacentral:tRNA from 1 species